AGGUAUAACUGCUUCUAUCUGACAGUUCAAGAACACAGUCCUCUUAGGGACAAGUCACUUACACUCCCAACAAUACAAAGUAAGGUGUGCGUACUCGUACUACGUCAUUACCAAUGAAGACAGGACGUCACGUGUUUAUGAUAUUUGUUUUCUUUAUUAUCAGGACAGUGUGAAAUGCAGUAGAAAAACGUUGUUUCCUUCCUGUCUCUGUGUAAGUGAACCACUACCACGGAGGUGCAUGGUAGGACUGAGGUACACCAUACCUAGACUAUAUCAGCGUGCUUGUGUGCUUUUGGUUUGGGAAGAUCCCCCCUGAAGGCUCAAUUUACAAUCAACAACCAUUGAAUCCCCUCAACAUAGAGUCUGCAAGACAGACUUGCAGUUCAGUGUCUGCCAUCCAAGAUUGUCUUUUAACCUUUUGGUCCCUUUCUUGAUGUCAUGAUGCAUGAAGUUGAAAAGUGUA